UACAGAGGGUGCAAGCGUUAAUCGGAUUUACUGGGCGUAAAGGGCGCGUAGGUGGUUGCUUAAGUGAGAUGUGAAAUCCCCGGGCUUAACCUGGGAACUGCAUCUUAUACUGGGUAACUGGAGUGCAAUAGAGGGUAGUGGAAUUUCCGGUGUAGCGGUGAAAUGCGUAGAUAUCGGAAGGAACACCAGUGGCGAAGGCGGCUACCUGGAUUGACACUGACACUGAGGCGCGAGAGCGUGGGGAGCAAACAGG
rnacentral:rRNA from 1 species